UACGUAGGGUGCAAGCGUUGUCCGGAAUUAUUGGGCGUAAAGAGCUCGUAGGCGGUUUGUCGCGUCUGCUGUGAAAACCCGAGGCUCAACCUCGGGCCUGCAGUGGGUACGGGCAGACUAGAGUGCGGUAGGGGAGAUUGGAAUUCCUGGUGUAGCGGUGGAAUGCGCAGAUAUCAGGAAGAACACCGGUGGCGAAGGCGGCUCUCUGGGCCUUACCUGACGCUGAGGAGCGAAAGCGUGGGUAGCGAACAGG
rnacentral:rRNA from 1 species